GCACCUUUAGCUCAGUUGGUAGAGCAGUAGACUCUUAAUCUAUUUGUCCAGGGUUCGAGUCCCUGAAGGUGUACCU
rnacentral:tRNA from 1 species